rnacentral:rRNA from 1 species
GAUGAACGCUGGCGGCGUGCUUAACACAUGCAAGUCGAACGAAGCACUUUAUUUGAUUUCCUUCGGGACUGAUUAUUUUGUGACUGAGUGGCGGACGGGUGAGUAACGCGUGGGUAACCUGCCUUGUACAGGGGGAUAACAGUUGGAAACGGCUGCUAAUACCGCAUAAGCGCACGGCAUCGCAUGAUGCAGUGUGAAAACCUCCGGUGGUAUAAGAUGGACCCGCGUUGGAUUAGCUAGUUGGUGAGGUAACGGCCCACCAAGGCGACGAUCCAUAGCCGACCUGAGAGGGUGACCGGCCACAUUGGGACUGAGACACGGCCCAAACUCCUACGGGAGGCAGCAGUGGGGAAUAUUGCACAAUGGGCGAAAGCCUGAUGCAGCGACGCCGCGUGAGCGAAGAAGUAUUUCGGUAUGUAAAGCUCUAUCAGCAGGGAAGAUAAUGACGGUACCUGACUAAGAAGCACCGGCUAAAUACGUG